rnacentral:lncRNA from 1 species
GACGAUCGUCUGAAUCGUUAUGUCGUUAACUUAACCUCUGACACCCAACUCGUGCGUUUCUUGACCAACCAAUUGUAUAACAUAUUGGGAGCCUUGCUUAGCGUUAAGCCAUGGGACAGAAAUAGAAGAGCCGACGACGUGAGUUUCAAGAAUAUUCAUGUCUAGACUCACAUCCUUGAUAUUCUAUGGGGUAUGAGCUCGAGGACAAAUGUCAGCGAGAUUGCAAACACCAAUUUUGCCUCAUUUUACACCAUUUCCAAAGCCGGCUUUUUGGGCACUCACUAGAGCCGGGAAGUUAAAAAUGUCACCAAAAUCAUAGUGGAGGAUUCGCUACUUCCCUCUUUCAUCUUGGAGGUUCCCAAAUCACAAGACCAAGAGGUCCUCUUUGGCUACGAGAAGCUGUCAAAAGUUUGCGAGGUCUGUUGGCGCAUCGGGCCCCAUUUUCAUGGUUAUGCAGCCAGACUGGGCCCUUAACCCGUGUCAAGGGGCUCAAGCAGUCGUAGUCCCGCGUGCGACUAAAUGGCAUGCGACAAAAAUAGUUGCGAUCACGCGUGCGACAAAGGACGCAUGCAACUAAGUUAGUCGCACUCCGCCUGCGACUAAUUAGUGGACUGUGACUAUUUUUGUCGCACAUAGCCCAUGACUGCGACUAUGUAAAGGGUGCCUCCG